GACGAACGCUGGCGGCGUGCUUAACACAUGCAAGUCGAACGGAACGGCCCUGCUUUUGUGGGGUGCUCGAGUGGCGAACGGGUGAGUAACACGUGAGUAACCUGCCCUUGACUUUGGGAUAACUUCAGGAAACUGGGGCUAAUACCGGAUAGGAGCUCCCGCUGCAUGGUGGGGGUUGGAAAGUUUCGGCGGUUGGGGAUGGACUCGCGGCUUACCAGCUUGCUGGUGGGGUAGUGGCUUACCAAGGCUUUGACGGGUACCCGGCCUGAGAGGGUGACCGGCCACAUUGGGACUGAGGUACGGACCAGAGUCCUACGGGAGGCAGCGGUGGGGAGUAUUGCACAAUGGGCGGGAGCCUGAUGCGGCAACGCCGCGUGCGGGAUGACGGCCUUCGGGUUGUGAACCGCUUUCGCCUGUGACGAAGCGUGAGUGACGGUAAUGGGUAAAGAAGCACCGGCUAACUACGUG
rnacentral:rRNA from 1 species